ACUCAGCAGUGGCACGUCAGCUGAAAAGCUGCACACGCAAAACUAUGGGCCUAAGGUUGGAUCAACUAAGGUUGCCAGGUUGCAGCA
rnacentral:ncRNA from 1 species